UUAGAUCUAAAACUAUCAUUUAGUUAGGAGUUGUAAGGACCCUCCUAGAUAAUGGGAUUUACCUUUUAAAUUCUUAGUGUUAUUUGCUAGCAUGAUUCAGUUAACACUCACAGAUGUGCCCAGCCACCAAAUUGGGGUAGAAAUUUUUUUGUUUGUUUUGUUAAAAUCAUGCACCCACCUAGAGAACAAGGAAAGAUAACACGAGUUUCCAGAAUGAAAAGUAGUUCAGACCCAAGUAGUCAGGCACUCACCUGGAGAAACAAGGGAAGACAGUUCAAAGAAAAGCAGUUUCAAGAAGAGGACAAUUCGAGUUGGAAAUUAUGCACCUACCUGGAGAACAAGGAAAAGUAGCAAUUUUAGAAUCAGUUCAAGUUUUGAUAAUCAGGAGCCCACCUGGAGAACAAGGGAGCACAAUUCAAGUUUAGGCAAUUAGGAGCCCUCCUAGAGAAUAAGGGAAUACAAUUCAAGUUUUGGCAAUCAGGAGCCUACCUGGAGAACAAAGGAACACAAUUCAAGUUUCGGUAAUUAGGAGCCCACUUUAAGAACAAGGGAAUACAAUUCAAGUUUUAUAUAUUAGCUUUCAGUUCACCCUCUCCCUGAUCCC
rnacentral:lncRNA from 1 species